rnacentral:rRNA from 1 species
GAUGAACGCUGGCGGCGUGCCUAAUACAUGCCAAUCGAGCGAACAGACGAGGAGCUUGCUCCUCUGACGUUAGCGGCGGACGGGUGAGUAACACGUGGAUAACCUACCUAUAAGACUGGGAUAACUUCGGGAAACCGGAGCUAAUACCGGAUAAUAUAUUGAACCGCAUGGUUCAAUAGUGAAAGACGGUUUUGCUGUCACUUAUAGAUGGAUCCGCGCCGCAUUAGCUAGUUGGUAAGGUAACGGCUUACCAAGGCAACGAUGCGUAGCCGACCUGAGAGGGUGAUCGGCCACACUGGAACUGAGACACGGUCCAGACUCCUACGGGAGGCAGCAGUAGGGAAUCUUCCGCAAUGGGCGAAAGCCUGACGGAGCAACGCCGCGUGAGUGAUGAAGGUCUUCGGAUCGUAAAACUCUGUUAUUAGGGAAGAACAAAUGUGUAAGUAACUAUGCACGUCUUGACGGUACCUAAUCAGAAAGCCACGGCUAACUACGUG